UUAACUAAAUUUGGUAAUUGUUUUAUUGCGCGAUAAAAUGGAAAUGUUAUUAUCAUGAAGGCUCAUGAAAAGGACUCCUAAAUGUCGUUUGGUAAGUUGUAAUUAAAUACAACGAAAUACCAAAUAUUUUGUGAAAGCAACCUCACAUUUAAACCUCUUUUAAUAUAAAAGUCAUGAAAAGUUCUCUGGCGGUUAUUUCAUUUCAUUCCUAAGUGUAUUUGAACAUUCCGAUAUGCUGCUUAUUCGUCAUUUAUUUAAUUGAAUAAUUGUUAACUAGCGAAUGGGAAAAUACUUUGCAUUUUACAAAAAAUUUGGGUGAUAUUUGAAAGAAUGAAACGUCAAAUCUAGAAACUGUGAAUGUCCAUUUUUUGUAAAUUUUUAUUAUUAAAUCACUGCUCGGAAAAGCAGAGUUCAUGAAUGGUGUAUACACACAGCAGUAAGUCCUGUA